GGACGGGUAGUGCAAGCGGUCAAAGCCAGCAGACUGUAAAUCUGCCCCGAAAGGUUCGGUGGUUCGAAUCCACCCCCGUCCACCA
rnacentral:tRNA from 1 species